GACGAACGCUGGCGGCGUGCUUAACACAUGCAAGUCGAACGAUGAAGCUGGAGCUUGCUCCGGUGGAUUAGUGGCGAACGGGUGAGUAACACGUGAGCAAUCUGCCCUUGACUCUGGGAUAACUGCGGGAAACUGUAGCUAAUACCGGAUACUUUCACUGGAAGGCAUCUUCUGGUGAAGAAAGAAUUUCGGUCAAGGAUGAGCUCGCGGCCUAUCAGCUUGUUGGUGAGGUAACGGCUCACCAAGGCGACGACGGGUAGCCGGCCUGAGAGGGUGACCGGCCACACUGGGACUGAGAUACGGCCCAGACUCCUACGGGAGGCAGCAGUGGGGAAUAUUGCACAAUGGGCGCAAGCCUGAUGCAGCGACGCCGCGUGAGGGAUGACGGCCUUCGGGUUGUAAACCUCUUUCAGCACCGACGAAGCGCAAGUGACGGUAGGUGCAGAAGAAGGACCGGCCAACUACGUGCCAGCCGCCGCCGUAA
rnacentral:rRNA from 1 species